GCCAGACUCCUACGGGAGGCAGCAGUGGGGAAUAUUGCACAAUGGGGGAAACCCUGAUGCAGCGACGCCGCGUGAGUGAAGAAGUAUUUCGGUAUGUAAAGCUCUGUCAGCAGGGAAGAAAAUGACGGUACCUGACUAAGAAGCCCCGGCUAACUACGUGCCAGCAGCCGCGGUAAUACGUAGGGGGCAGGCGUUAUCCGGAUUUACUGGGUGUAAAGGGGGCGCAGACGGCGAUGCAAGCCAGGAGUGAAAGCCCGGGGCCCAACCCCGGGACUGCUCUUGGAACUGCGUGGCUGGAGUGCAGGAGGGGCAGGCGGAAUUCCUGGUGUAGCGGUGAAAUGCGUAGAUAUCGGGAGGAACACCGGUGGCGAAGGCGGCCUGCUGGACUGCAACUGACGUUGAGGCCCGAAAGCGUGGGGAGCAAACAGGAUUAGAUACCCCAGUACC
rnacentral:rRNA from 1 species